GGGUCGUUAGCUCAGUUGGUAGAGCAGUUGACUUUUAAUCAAUUGGUCUAGGUUCGAAUCCUGCACGACCCACCA
rnacentral:tRNA from 1 species